AAGUCGUAACAUAGGUGAACCUGCGGAAGGAUCAUUAACACGUAUCAACGUUAAAACCCCUGUGAACUGUGUGAAGCACAUCAAGUGGGAGGAACAGUUUUGAUUCGGAACCUCUGCUCCAUAUGCGCACGCUGCAAUUGAGCGGUAGAAGCAGUGGCAUGGCGUCCCCAAGCUCCAGUGAAUGAAAGUGUCACUGGAAAGUGUAAGGAUAACGCUUCUCGGUUGCUAGAGGUCGAUCACCGACCGGCAGAGGGUCACCGCGCCCUAACUCACUCCCUCUGGCGCCGUUGAAAAGCUGCGCUAAAAAAAAAACCGAACAACUGUUAACAAUGGAUAUCUUGGUUCUC
rnacentral:misc_RNA from 1 species